rnacentral:misc_RNA from 1 species
AUUUUGGCUAGAGAAACUGUGAUGCAGACUAGCAACUAAUAUUGGAAGGAAAUGCAUGAAUCAACAAAUCAACCUAUUUUCAUAUUUGCUGAGAAAGGGAAAAAAAAAACUGCUUCAAAUUAACAAUGCAAGCCUAUAUCCCUUUCUUUUACAAUGACAAAUUUAUAUCUAAAGUCUAAACCUAGAUUUGCCCAUUAGAAAACCUAAUUCAUUCUGGAGAAUCAAAAAGAAUAUAAAAAUUGAUCCUACCUUUUUGACUUUUACUGCUUUCUU